rnacentral:lncRNA from 1 species
UGUCCACCAUAAUUCGGUCAACAAUGGCGUGGGCCAGUUGAGUAGAAAUCACCAAGGCAUCGUCGUGGGGAAAAUCUACUCCAUCAGCAUCCUGCUCGGUGAAGCCAACGGUUGGUCCAAGUACAGCAUCUACGGCUUAAACCUGAAAGAUCGAUCUCGCAUGCUGGAUUUUCCUCUUCUUAGAACUAUUGGUGCCCCCAAAUGCUCGGAUUCGACAAAAAUACCGUUGAUUCGGAUCAUCUUGGCUAAGGGUUUGGCAUCGGCAUCUACUUCUUAUCUUGGCCAGGUAGUUGGCUUGUCGACAUACUAGUCGCAUUUGCCUUAUUUUACAAGCUUCUUUAAGUACUUCAUCCACUUGAUGUAGUCGUUGGUCGCGUACCUCAGACCUCUAUGGAAUGCACAAUAUUUUGUCUGGUCCAUCUUGGAAAUGUCUCCCCUUAUGGGUUGCAGCAUCUUAAACCAUGACUUGUCUUUAAGGUCGCAAAUGAACUGGUUGAUCCGGGACUAAGAACUUGGUGUACAUCUUGGGUGCUGAGCCUCCAUUCGUCUGAGAUCGGUCCCUACGUUUGCUUUCUGGCUUGUUUUUGUCAUUGAGCAGUUUAUCGCCCACCUUUUUCUGAGCUAGCUCUGUUCUUUCCACAACUGCUUAGGCGAUCUGUGAGUGCUUGGCCUCAUCCUAAAGGGAGUGUUUUUCUGCCAAAGCAUAAAAAUCUGCCAAGGUCAAGUUUUUGCCCAUAAUCAGCUAUUUGAAAAGUGGGUGAUCUGCUAGGAGCUCAUUCCGGAAAGCUGAGCUUGCAAUUUUAUCAUCACUUCUGACGAUCUUCGUAUUUUCUUCCUUGAACCUCUUGAUGUAUGUACGGAGUGACUCAUUCGGAUCCUUCUUCAUGUUGAAAAGAUGGUCAGACUUCUUCUUGAUCGAGCGGUAGGAUGAAUAUUCCUUAGUGAAAACCAAGGAAAGUUCAUUGAAGUUCUGGAUUGAACGUGG